rnacentral:misc_RNA from 1 species
ACAAAAACACCUAAAAAAAGAGAACGAAAAAAAAAACUUGAUUAAAUAAGUGAAUACAAGAAAAAUGGCGGACUCGGAGGAGUCGUUACAAGACAACGAGCUGUUUACACUGAAAAGUUUCCUGGACAAUUUUGAUCUUCCACAAACUGUACUUGUUGUGUCGCCAGGUAACUGCCAGACGACUCCUGCUGUCGAAGAAGGUCAGUGGCUGCGUUUGUAUAAAACUGUUAUCCCCAGAGUGUUGUUGACACCUUGUAAGGCAGACGAUGACUGCGAGUGGGACACGCACUAUGAUCCGUCGGCCAAGACUCCGGUCACGGAUCACGACACAAUUGAAGUACCUAUAGACUAUCCAGCACGGUACGUUGUUCUUUCACCUCCACAUGACGAACAGGAGCCGGACGCGAUCUACGAGACGAUAAAUGAUUUAAUGAAGGUAUCACCGCCAUUAUUUAAAGCGAACUGUUCGUCGUGCUUCUCGCAACAGAGUUUCAUUGGAGAAAUACAGAAAAAUAAUUUUGAGGCUGGAGAUACAUUCAAGUUUCUGAAAAUCGUUCGCGAUGGAUAUUUCGGGAAAUAUUUACAAUGCCAACACCAAGACGGUCGUAUUAUGGAACUUCCAUGGUCAUGUAAGGGUGAUUUUUCUUACGUCGUUGAUUCGAAUACCACUUACACUGUGGAACAACUUCUGGAAGCGAAUCGCAUGCCCAGGUAUCUUUGGCAAGCUGAUGAAAUGGUUGAUCACAGUGAUUACCAAGACAGCAUCAUACGUGUGGGAGUUGAUUCCCCCUCAAAAGUAUUCACAGACGACCCAUUUUUCAACGACGAUUCGAUCGACAUGUCUGAAUCACAAUUCUCUAAUCAACGGAAUAGUUUUCGUUCUGCGAAAUUAUCUGGAAGGAAUAUUAUUUAUAUGGACAUUCCUGAGAUGUUUGUCCAGGUUUAUCACACUAGUGACCCUACUGAUAGUGUUGACGCUGAUCCCACACAGAAUGGCGAAUCAGACGUAAGGUGGCUCAUUCCUCUUAGCUCUGACAUGCUUGUUAAAUGUAUAUCCGUUCCAGAUUAUGAACAUCCCAAAAAUUACAAAGCUCGUCGUACAUUAUGGGAAGUGGCAUCGGAAUAUACUCGACCAUUAAUUUUCUUCCCAGUUCUAGCCCAAAUUGUAUCUUACCCCGACCUUCCUUCUGAAUUCGUCGCUUAUCUUAAACCAAAGUCACAAAUAGUUCUUCGAAGAGUGGAACAUAUCGAUAAAAUUCUUGCGCGAACGGAAGACAGAUUCUUCAUAAUUGGACCUAAUCUUUAUAAAAGUUUCUCUGCAUUACCACGGAGAUUUCGGAAUGUCUCUGAAUUAAGUAUUUGCAAGGCUGGCUGUGAACUGCAGGUAUUGGAAGAUGUGGCCACUGACUUUCCGAAACCAAUUAGUUUGAAUAAAGGUGAUAUCAUCCGAAUUCCAAACUUCCAGACCGUUGUCUAUAAAUUCGGAGGUGGCGAUUACAAAAUGGAAUGUAAAGUGUUAAGAUGUGAGAAACUAAAUUCUCGUGGAAAAUACGAGAAACUGAAGAUACCUGUGGAUUUAGAAAUUGAUUUAAUUGAAAUGAUUGCUAACGAAGAUAGAGAAAGAUGGUUCGUGUCCGAAUUAUUCUACCGUCGGCCAAAAUUACCACUGGAUGUAGAAGCCGGGGAUUUCUACCCGACAGUAAAUGCAAACACAGUGCUAACUUUAGAAAAUUUUGUUCGAGACUCAGUUGUGGUUGUGUCUAACACUCAAGAUAACCAAACAGAAUCGGCAUUUUCAAAUCAAGUGUGUAUUGAAAUUCCUAGUCGAUAUAAAAUGGUUCUAGAUCUUAAACAGGAUACUGUUAUGCCAACUGAUUUUACUUCUCCAAUUGAACGGAUAGCUUUGGAUGCUGAAGAAUUAUUUGAGGAAACGUAUUUUUAUAUGGAAACUUACCACCUCCGUUCUCAAAAUACCGACUGUUUGGGAGAAUCCAUUCAACGCCAAAUAUCUAUGAGUACAAGAUCUGUAUGGAGACGAGAUUUGAAUAUAGUACCACAGCUGUCCAACAUGAGGAGAUCUAUAUCAACAUUCAGCGUCAAUAAAGCAAGCAAAUUGCGGAAAAGCUUUUCACGGAUGCGCAAGAAAAAGCAAUAUCCAUCACAGGGUCUUAUAAGAUCAGAGGUCAGGAGGGCUGAAUCAGAUUUCAACAUUUAUGAAAAUAUCAGAAUCGACAAUCUUUCAACAACUCCAAUGCUAACUACUGCAUUAAUUUCUGCACCAACUCCUAUUCCAACUGCAUCACCUACUGCAUCAACUACUACACCGACUACUUCACCAGCUACUGCAUCAAAUGCAUCAACUACACCAACAGGUGACUAUCCUUCCCUUACAAACAGAACUUCCACCACACAGCCAAAUGUCUACAUCACAAGGACAUCAUCUGGCCAGAUUUCUGACACAGAAUCGAAUCCCUAUGAAGAUGUUGUGAUAAGAACACGAGAACAGCCAGUCAUCACGAAAAAAAAGCCAUCAAAAUUCAAGAACCCAUUCAAAUUUUUCAAAAAAUUCUCCAAGCGCAGUUGAAGCAGUUUUAUAGCUCAUAAUAUGGGCUUAUAAUGUGGUGACUUUUACCUGUUUCUUUUGCUCACAUCUUCAGUAGAGCAAUGUGCCUGCUAGAUCAAAGACUCCAGUAACAAUGAUUUUAUCAUGCUUCUUCCAGUCUUCAUCUAGCAAAUUCGUUCACAAGGUUUUGGUUAUUCACUAAGGCUAUAGCAGAAGGCAAGAAAAAUGAGGGAUAAAAGAUUGAGUUACAUGGAUAGAUAAUAUGAAGAAUUGAACAGACUUAAAAUACAGUGAAAAUAUAAGGACAACACAAGAAAGACUGAGAUGGCAAUAUCGAGUAUUCAACUGGCUGAGGGUGGAUGAUAUCUGAUGAUGGCGCUGAAUUCUACCAUCAGCUGAUUUAUUUCUGUUUUGAAAGAGAGAAUUUCUUGAAAAUAUUAUGAACUUUUCAUCAACACCAGAGAUAUUUUGAAUAAAGUUUUCAGUGAAAACAUAUCAAGGUUUCUUCCACUGCUUUUUUUCUCUUUUUUAUGUUUUUUAUUACUCUACA